UACGGAGGGUGCAAGCGUUGUUCGGAAUUACUGGGCGUAAAGGGCUCGUAGGCGGCCAACUAAGUCGGAUGUGAAAUCCCCAGGCUUAACCUGGGAACUGCAUCCGAUACUGGAUGGCUUGAAUCCGGGAGAGGGAUGCAGAAUUCCAGGUGUGGCGGUGAAAUGCGUAGAUAUCUGGAGGAAUACCGGUGGCGAAGGCGGCAUCCUGGACCGGCAUUGACGCUGAGGGAGCGAAGCCAGGGGAGCAAAACGGG
rnacentral:rRNA from 1 species